GACGAACGCUGGCGGCGCGCCUAACACAUGCAAGUCGAACGAGCGAGAGAGAGCUUGCUUUCUUGAGCGAGUGGCGAACGGGUGAGUAACGCGUGAGGAACCUGCCUCAAAGAGGGGGGCAACAGUUGGAAACGACUGCUAAUACCGCAUAAGCCCACGGUGCCGCAUGGCACAGAGGGAAAAGGAGCAAUCCGCUUUGAGAUGGCCUCGCGUCCGAUUAGCUAGUUGGUGAGGUAACGGCCCACCAAGGCGACGAUCGGUAGCCGGACUGAGAGGUUGAACGGCCACCUUGGGGCUGAGACCCGGCCCCGACUCCUACGGGAGGCAGCAAUGGGGGAUAUUGCACAAUGGGGGAAACCCUGAUGCAGCGACGCCGCGUGGAGGAAGAAGGUCUUCGGAUUGUAAACUCCUGUUGUUGGGGAAGAUAAUGACGGUACCCAACAAGGAAGUGACGGCUAACUACGUG
rnacentral:rRNA from 1 species